CUGUGCCAAUGCCUCACCACUCUUCCCGAGAAGAAUUUUUUCUAAUAUUAGAGGGUUUCACUGAAAGAGGUAGGAGCAUGGAUCUAGCAGUUGUAGAUGUUGGGUUGCUUUGUGAAAAGGGAGGAGGAGAAUAUGCUUAGGCUGCUACACUUGAGCUAAAGCACAGAUGGAAGUCACCAGAAACCAUGUUCCAGCGUGAUUUUGGUGGUGUGUGCUGGUGGAUCUCUCUUGAUGGACAUAAGGGUGUGUAAGAGGAGACUGACUGCUCCUCUGGAGGCACUGGUCAAGGACCUUUUCCAAGGCAACAAGGGAUAAUGAGAAAGGGAGGCAGUGAUGGGAACCAGCUCUGAGCAGUUGCACUAAUUUAUGUGUAUUUGCACUCUCUCCUGUGUAUAUGUGAGCUGCAGGGGUUAAUUGCCCAAUCCUGACAAGAUCUGGAUGUGGGUGGGUGAACUUCAGUGCCAGAUACUGGUGUGGGUCUGGGCUAUAGGGCCAUGGUCUGAGUAGUUGACCUGUGAAGUGGGUAAGGGGCCCAAGAUCUGGGCAGGGGUGCUGGGCCAUGCUGGUGUGUGAAUGUGCAUGCACUUGUGAAUGUGGAGAGUGCACUGUGUGCCUGCACUGGCGAACUUCUGUACGCAACAGCCAUGAAGAGGAAGGGAUCACAGUUGCCUGUGUGUGUUUUAUAUGAGUCCUGUGUGUACGUGCUACUGAAGGUAGCUCUUAGCUGGGGCAGCCUGCAUGACCAGUUGUGUCAUUGACCUGUGCAUCUCUGGGAUACGUGCUCAGCUUUGCUAGUGGUUGAAACUACAGCGGGUUUUAUUUCCUAAGCCGUAGGACUAUUGCCCUUGCACUAACAGAGCUUGCUGAAAGCUGACCAAGAGCUCCAUAGCUGUAGAUCAGCUUGCAGCUGUUUGUGCUCAUGAGAUGAUCACAGUGCUGAUAAAGGCAAAACUGGUGCCGCUGAAAACAAUACCUUUGCAGUGUACUCAAACUGUAGUUCCUUUCUGUUUCCUCUUGUAAGCAGAGUAAUGGAAAGAGAAGAGUAAAGGUGAGCAAGAGAGACCAGGGGAGCUGGAAAAAGGUAUUGUAGAAAGCAAUGAACAGAAAGAGACAUUAAAGUUAGGAGGGUAAAGGAGAACUGAAAUCUUAUUUCUCUUGUGCUUUCUAUCCCAGUGCCAUUAGCACCAUUUAUGCAAAACAAAAACAAACAAACAAAAAACCUGGUAAUGGGAUUAGAACCUGAAAGGCUAUGUGUAAUGUGUGUGUGGAAAAGUGUUUGUGGCCACACUACCAAUGUCACCUACACAACUAAGCACAUCUACAGUUAUUCUUCAGAUGUUGUUAUGCCGUGGAUACAUCAGGACAGACACACAGAAGUUCUGCUUACCUUAACUAAUGCAGUUAACAGUCCAUACAGCUGUGAACCUACCUGUGAGCAGCUGGAAAUGCCUUCGCAGUUGUUUGCGACAGCCAGUAGUAGUGGAGUAAAAAGAGCUUGUCUGUCUGUGUGCUUCAUGUUUCCCUUAGGUAAUGGGAAACUCUGAAGUUGCACUGGGCUUGAGUUAGCUUAGAAAUAGGGUAAACAACCCACUUCUAAAGAAAAGGUUGCCCUAUUUGUUAUGACAGUUCUGUGAGUAAGUGAAAGCCUUAAUAUGUUUAAGGUGGAAAGGAAGAGUGAACACUGAUGCCAGCAGCAGUCUGGACUCAGGGCGCAACUAAGUUUGCUUUUCGCACCCCUGGGCAAAGCUCUCCUUCUGGUCAUGAACAGGAGAAGGACCAAGCCCCAGUCUGCUCAGAGUCCCACACGUUCCCAGGUAUACACAUCAGACAGGCCCACCAUGCUCUCCUGCUCCAACACUAUGUAGAUAUGGCUUGGUAUGCUGCUGAAACAUGUUAGCAUUAUUUCCAAAUCAGUGGCACAAAGCUUCUUUGCCUGAGACAAGGUCAGAAUCUCAGAGAUGCCCAUUCUCUCCCAGUCUGUGGCACAUCUGUCAGCCAUCCAAAAACCAGGCCUGCCACCGUGAGACCAGCUGCCAGCACAGUGUGACGUGAACUUGCCCAAAAUAGUGCUUGUAUUCCCAGGCAGCCUGCAAGGCUUGAGUGCAGAAAUACUGUCCAUAGUAGGGAAAUCAUGGAGAUUAUAGAAAAAAAAAAAAGCAGUAACACCUGUUAAGUAUUUAGAAUGGAAGCAAGUAUCUCUGAACAACAGACUGUUUCGUGUCUGGUAAAUAGUGUAUAUACUCUAAGAUGUCCCUUGGGAUGAGAAAGGAAGGAUGAGAGAACUCCUUUUAAUUAUCUUAUGUGUUUUCUGACUUAAUUAUCAGGAAAUUAAGCUCCGAGGAGGAUCUGGCAGCUGGAAGACUGUGAUCUCCAGCCUGGGGAUGGGACUGAGGUCAGAGGAGCUACUAAGGAAAGCUCCCAGGAGAGCCUGGCUGUGAGGAGAUCUGGACAGAGGUCCACUAGGUGGCACUUCCCUCUUGGUUUUCAGAAACAGUCUUCCCCCAGACAACAUGAGACUGUACAGGAGAUGCUCCAGGCACCUCAUCAUCACUGUGGCACUGUGCUGGACACUGUCCAGCAGUUCUCUGUCUUUCUUGAACUGCGGAGCCCAGAACUGGACACAGUAUUCCACAUGUGGCCUUACCAGAGCAGUGCAGAGGGGGAAGAGACUGGGACUCUGAUCGGUGUUCACGCAAAGAGCUGUCAACCUGUACUCUGAAGUUUCCUGAGGGAAACUGCCAGUGUCUCAGUUUGUCUGAAAGCAGCAUUGUCCCGAAGAUACCAGCCUCUUCCAUGCUGCUCUGACACUGUUCUUCUCUGCCGCUAUUCAUCCGAUUGCAGGUUAUUCAGUAGAAGGAAGAGGAAGGCACUAAUGGCAAAUUAAACACAGGGAAUAUAUUUCAUUGCUAGAACUGAGAACUCACACAGAUCACAUUUCAGAAAGCUUUAUUCGCAAUUAUGAAAAUCAAAUAGGUAUGAUUUUCUUUAGAGUAACAAUAAGCCUGUGCUACGGAUAAUUGCAUAUACAAUCCGUGUUAACAAAACAAGAGAUAUAUAUUCUCUUCGCUGUUUUGAGAAUUGCUGUAGUCUGCAUCAGGUGCUGUCAUCUCUGGGCAUAUCUAUGAUGGUCAUGGUUGAUUAAACAAUUUUAUGACUUAUGUAAAAUCUGAGAACAUUUAAACGUACAUUCAAUUUUUUUUUCUGUGGAAAAUAAUAGGAAAACCUUCAGAUAACUCCCUGCUAGCAUUUUGGCCUUUUUCCUCUCCAUGUUCCAGUUUUUCCAUCUCCUAAAUGAUGCCAGACUGACUUUAUAGGAAUGUUGGGAGGUUUUAAUAAUAGAUAGGAAGUGUGCUGAGAUCGUUGCUGGAGAGUGCUCUGUAAAUUUAAAAUGUGAUGGUUAAUAAUGCAGGCCUGCGUGACAUCGUGAGUUAGAGAAGGUGCCAUGGUGCAAUCCCAGAGCUUUCCAAGCCGGUUCCAAGGUAAAAUAUGAAUGAAAUUCACUUUUGUGCUGUGUGUGGAAAACCCGGUGUUCAAUGAGCACUGGGGUAAAUUUGGUACACUGUAGUAUCACUUCCUUACAAAACAGACGGUGCCUAACCUAGCAGUGUAGGAAGAGCUAAUUGCCAAAAUAAGUCACACUCAGCUGCAAGUCAGUGACAGAUACCUUAAUUUCAGGUGUAAGAACUGGUUUAGGGAUGGGGGUAUAAGCUUGAAACAAGAAAGUGACUUUGUAUGCUGUCAGAGAUUUGCAGCGUGACCUUGAGGAAGUCAUUUAAAUUUACUGUUUCUUGAGUUCUUCAUCUGAAAAAAAACCCAAGCGUAGCAUUUUCCCUUCCUCCCAAGGGUGUUAUGAGGAUAACUACAUUAAUUAGUUGCCUGCUUAGAGAUGGGUUUAAUAGGCUGGGGUAGCUAGAACAUCACUCUUCCUUAUCUCUACUGACCAGUCCUGGUCAGUAUCGUGUCACCUAAAUUGAUUUUUGCAGAAGGUGAUUAAACACAAUUAAACGCCCAUGUUAAAACUGACUCUAGGAUUAGCUUUAUUGAACUGAGAUGAAAGUGUUGAUAGAUUCUGAACUCCUUUUAUUAAAAAAAGUGUUAAUGGGAUCCAUACAGAGUUGACAGAACAAAUUCCUUUCCCACAAGCCCACCAUUAUCUAUAAGAUGAAAUUAGAGUUCUAUUUCUAAACUACAGAGCAGUCAUCUCUCUUUUUAAUUAAAAAAAAAAUUAAAAAGUGUUAAUGAUCCCUGUCUUUAGCUCACUUGCUAACUUUCCUUUGGCAGCUGUACCGGUUUCUGUUGUUCAACUUAAGGCUUUUAUUUUCUCGUUGCAGCAUGUAAAGAUUGUUUUUUUUUGACAGAUUUUGCAUUUCAUUUGAAAGAAAUACAAAUUUUGCUGUGGACACCAUAACUGGUCAGCAGCUGUGGGGAUGGAAAAGGAACAGAACAGCAUCUGGAACCAUCCUCUUUUGUUUCAGGUUCUGAGAAAGUCCUCCUUAAAUGGCAGAAUUUCUGUUAGAUAAAAAUCACUGUCCAUCUGCUCUCAUGGGCUUUAUUUCAAAUCCCGUAAUGACAGUAAUGAUGAUAAUUGCUAGUAACAGAGGACAGUCCUGUGGCCUGUGUGAAAUGAGUUUGGAGGAUCAGUGCUUAAUUUUCGGCGUGUAUGGCUCCAUGUUGUUGGACGGUCAUUGAAAUCAGUAGGACUCUUUCCAGCAGCUUCCGUGAUCGUUGGCUGGGACACUAAACGCCAUAUUACAGCAGGGGAAAAUUAGCAUAGCUGUUGGCAGUUCAGCAGCUGAUGACUGAAUAGAUAAGACUGAAACCCCCUUUCACCUUUCCAGACUGAAACUGGGAGAGGCAAGGGGGGCAGAGAAGGGACGCAGCGCUGCUUAUUAGCAGACGACUGCCCUGUUCUCCCUCGGUGAGAACUUCAGGGCUGAUGUAUUUCAGGCACCUGAUAUUUUUCUCUGGUAUUACCCACCUGGGUCCAGGUAGUUGCACAUAAGGAAAAUAGCUGUCAUAUUUGUGGAAAGCUGUGCAUGCUUAUGAGGGCUGAAAGACUCGAUUUCAGGGCAGAUGUGAGGGCCGCAGCGCUGGGACUCAUUUUCUGGUGGGUCCUACUGCAGGAGCUUUGUGCAGUCACACACUUUACACUGUAAAAUCUCUCCGUGCUCUGAUAUUAAUUAGUGAUGCUGCAGGGACUCCUCACUUCUUUGGAAGUGUGGGGCAACCCCUGAGAUUUUUGUAGCUUGCAGCUUUUUGGCUUGUCCCUUCCACGCAGCAGACACCGUCAGUAGCACCAGUCUUCCCCAUGGAACCUCCCUUUGCAUGAACAUGGAUUUUCAGGUCUCUAUUUUCCCAGGUUACUAUUUGGUGAUAUUUCAGCGCUGUUCUCAUGUCCAGAUAUUAUUUCUCUGAGUUCUGUUCUACAACAGAGAAAAAACACAAGAUCUUGAAGAACCUGCAGCCAUUAAAGAAGUGAAAAGCAAAGAUGUGAGCCAAACCAACAGGAAUUCCCACUCCUGUGCUGAAGAGUGCUUCUUCACCAUGGGUCCCAGUGAGGCAGAUCAAAUAGAAAAGAAACUGGAAUUAAAAUCUGUGGAGCUUUCCAGGAUGAGCAAGGCUGAACCUGAGGUUUCUGACAGGCUGGGAAGGAGUGAGUAGAAUUAGUGUGGGGAAAGCAGAACUUGGGAUCCUGAGGAAGGUUCUGGACCCUUCGUGUCCAUGCAGAAACCCCAGAGCAGACACUGCUACCAAGGCCAUAUUGCUCACAGAAAAUUGGCAGAAUUCGCACACAUUGUAAUGCGCAAGAACCCAGCAAACAGGGAUGGUCAAGCUUUGGAGGACUGUGCAGAGUGUCCUGCCUUCUGCUUUUCCAGUCUUUUGUGGAGGUUUCUUCUUUGCAGCAUUGCUGUUUCCUCUUAAAUGUCUUAAGGAACUAACUUGCCUGCUUGCAGUUGUCCAACCGUAUCCACAGGGAAACCCGGGCAAAAAAAUUAAUCCUGCUAAAAUGAUUUUUCUUUGGACAAGCUACACUGAUAGAAGUACCUCUAACCUGAGAUUUUGUGUCGGUGCGAGGGAGCUCUAUUGAUUUAGUAGAUUUGAAUUUAAGUCAAUGGAGUUCAAUCAAUACCCAAGUGGAGCGGAGAUUAGGUUCUCCAUUGAUUUUGAGUGUGGCCAACACCAGUAGACUUUGUAAUUUACAAGCACGAGUUAUAUUGACGUGAGGCAGGUUUAAAUCACUCCAGCCAUGUUGCAUGAGUUGCCUCUGAGCUCUGCUAAGAUUUAGGCUGGGAGUUGAAGGUAGGGUUCCAGUGAUGCAUUUGCAGCUUGCUGGUGGUUGUGGAUACGUGAGUUCUGACAAAACAUGGCAUGUGACUGCAUCUUCAUGCACUUCUAUCAGAAGCUGAGGUUUAGCAAAAAUCAGCUUGUAAUCUCAUACAGAGUUAUUUGGCUGCAGCUUCCAUAGGCAGCAUCUUGGACAGAAAUCUAUCUUGGCUUCCCUAGAAGCUUCUUUCCAUUCAUCUUAGUGGUAAAGGAAAGAGGCAGGGACCCUGCAGAUAACCUUUUUCUAUUGUAUGCUACUGAAUAAAGCCAAAU